AAAAGUUAAUAGAAUAUACUCUACAUUUUAAAAAACUUAAAUUUUGAAGUUUUAAAAACGAAGUAAACUUUAUUUACCCAAAAAGGUAAAAAAUAACGAAUAAAGCUAGAAUUAGUUACAUUCACUCAUUUCGCUAAAUUUGGAUACGCCAGAGACUAUGUAUAGUAUCAAGUUGAAAAUACGUUAAUUUUAGUGGGUUAUUUUAGAUUAAGAAAGUAGAAGAAAUGAACUAGAAAAACGCAUCGAGUCAAUAUCGAGUCAAAACACAAAGCAUAUUAAAUAUAAAAAAAUGUCCAGUAUCGAUGCGGAGCUGAGAGUGUAUUGAUUUUACAAAUUUGGUCUCACAUUCUUUUGUUUUUUGUGUGUUUAAAAACGCUUAACAAAGCACAAUUAUUGUAGAAAAUAUUACAAUCAGUAAAUAUUGUCUGCCAAGAACAGCCUAAAAUAAUAAUAGAAGAAAGUUACUUUUUCAAACAAGUUUAAUAAGAUACCUAAAUCAAUUAUAUUGUGUUAAAUAAUAUUAAUAUUAUGCUAUAUAAUAUAUAACAGUUUAUAGAAAAUAUUUGUUUACACAGUUUUCGAUUUAAGCAUAUGUUUGUUCAUUUUAGUCAAGAAAAUAAAAAGUAAAUUUAUAUGGAUACAUAUAUUUCUAUCAACUUACAUAAAUACUUAAUACAUUGGUAUCUAUUGGUAAUGUUUGUACAAUCUUCAACUACUCAAUUUUUAACAGUGAAACUAAAUUGCCAAAUUUAAUAACAUGUUGAGUGCGUAUAAAAACACAUUGGUUUCACUAAAUGUCUUUGUGCAAGUGUAUAUAUGAUUGAUCAGUUAAACGAUAGUAAUAUUUAAAACAUUUUAAGGAAACUAAUAAAAAUAUAUUAAAUCUGAAUUAAAUUCCAAGUAAAAAAAAUUGCAAAUAAUAACAAACACGUGUGCUUUUGCUUGAUGACUUUUGAGAGUAUCUUGGCGACCAUAUGAUUUAUCACAGACUGAGCAUUUGUGUUGUACCCCACCAAUAUGUAUCCGUGCAUGUCUCUUGAGAUGAGAUUGUUGACGAAAUGUUUUUUCACAAACAACACAUUUAUAAGGUUUCUCACCGGUAUGUCUUCUUUCGUGAGUUUUGAAGUUAGAUUGUAUAUUAAAACAUUUUUUACAGACAUCGCAUUUAUAUGGUUUCUAACUGGUAUGUAUGCGUUCAUAAAUUAUGACUAUUAUAAUAUAAUAUUGACUGAAUGCUUUAUCACAGAAACGGCAUUUAAAUGGUCUCUCGCCGGUAUGAACGCGUCAAUGUCUUCUCAGGCUUGAUUUUAAUGAAAAUAGGCCAUCUUUGUUUGGAUUAUUUCUUUUGAUUUUGCAGAUACAAUGAUUGACUUUAUUUUUUUGAGGUGUUAUCGUGGGGUAUAUCGUACCCCACCAAUAUGUAUCCGUGCAUGUCUCUUGAGAUGAGAUUGUUGACGAAAUGUUUUUUCACAGACAUCGCAUUUAAACGGUUUUACGCUGACAUCGCAUUUAAACGGUUUCUCGCCGGUAUGAAUACGUGCAUGGUACUUGAGAUGAAUUUGUUGAUUGAAUGUUUUUUCACAGACAACGCAUUUAUAUGGUUUCUCACCGGCACGGCAUUUAAAUGGUUUCUCCCCGGUAUGAACGCGCCAAUGUCUUCUCAGGCUUGAUUUUAAUAAAAACGUUUUCAAACAAAUUCCACAUUUAAAUAAGCCAUCUAUGUUUAGAGUAUUUCCUUUGAUUUUCCUGUUACGAUGAGUGACUUUUUUUUUAAGAGGUGUUUUAUUUCCAAUGGAAGUACUGGAAUGCGAUUUCGCAAUAUGCCGAAUUAUACUAUUUUUGGUUGUAAACCUCCUUUGACAUAUAUUGCAGUCGAACCGACGUAUUUUGUACAUAUUUUUCUUAGAAUUGUUUUUUAUAGUUUCAAUAAAAUUGCAAUCUUUGGUUUUUGUAUUUUUUGAGGUAUCGGUCGCAUUACACGAAAAAUGAAUACUGCAACACGUAUGAAACAAAACAGAUUAAUUUAGGACAAAUAUUGAUGUUAUGCAGCAAGCAUUAAUAUUACUAAUAUUAAAUGUACAAUCCAUCAUACACGCAUCCUUUUUAAGAAUUAAUUUUAUUGAUUUUACAAGAUAUACAAAGAUCUUCUAUUACUUAUCGAGUUGCCUGAACUUAUUAUACAUAAUACAAUGUAACGUUCACAUUUAUUAGAAUAUGAACAAUAAACAUCCGAGUGCCAUAAGAUUUAAAACUUAAAAAGUGUACUCUAUCUAAAGUCCACUUUUACAUAGAGUACCUUGAGACUUUUUAUGACCGACGUCUUUUAACCUUAAACUUGACAGAAAUAAUAAUAAAUUCUCAUAAACGACUAAACUAUAUUUUUGACAUGGAUAUGUCUUUUGGCUUGGGGACAUAAAGAAAAUCUUUGCGUGCAUGCUUGAAUGACGCUGAACGCUACCGAGGAAAAUGUGUGCGUGUGGCGCGAUUAAGCGGAUGUUUUGUGAAUGAAACAGCUGAUAAACAAUAUUUAAUGCCUGGCUAAAAAUUAGAGAUAUGCGAUUAGAGAUAUUAUAGAUAAGAUAUAAAAUGUAGAGAUAUAGAUAUCAGAAAUAAAAUAUGAGAGAUAAGAAACGAGACAUAUCCAUAUAAUAAAUACCUCUUUGAAAA